CCUACGGGUGGCAGCAGUGAGGAAUAUUGGUCAAUGGGCGAGAGCCUGAACCAGCCAAGUCGCGUGAGGGAGUACUGCCCUAUGGGUUGUAAACCUCUUUUGUCGGGGAGCAAAAGCCGGACGUGUCCGGCUGUGAGAGUACCCGAAGAAAAAGCAUCGGCUAACUCCGUGCCAGCAGCCGCGGUAAUACGGAGGAUGCGAGCGUUAUCCGGAUUUAUUGGGGUGAAAGGGUGCGCAGGCGGAUUUUUAAGUCAGCGGUCAAAUCGUGGGGCUCAACCCCAUCCAGCCGUUGAAACUGGGGAUCUAGAGUGUGCGAGAGGUAUGCGGAAUGCGUGGUGUAGCGGUGAAAUGCAUAGAUAUAUGGAGGAACACCAGUGGCGAAGGCGACGAUCUGGCCUGCAACUGACGCUCAGUCCCGAAAGCGUGGGGAGCAAAUAGGAUUAGAUACCCCUGUAGUC
rnacentral:rRNA from 1 species